GUUUCUUUACCCCUUCCUCCUGUAUAUGUAAAAAAGAUUUAAAUAUAAAUAUGUAUUAAUCCCUCUGCAUAAAACAUUAGUAUUGAGGGACUUCUCCAUUAAAAUAUUGAAAAAGACCACAAAAUAUUUUGACACUAUGUGACUGUCUCAUCAAUGAAAUGAAAGAGGACAGGUUUUUCGACAGAAUUUUGUUUUCCCUUGAAGCUCUGUAAUUUCUUCAAGUACUACCCAAUACUGCAAGAACUUAUAGCUGUAAUCAUAUGAUAUCUGAAUUUAUAUUAUAGCAUACAUUGAAAAACAUUGAAGGCAUAACUUUUCCUUUAGGCAUAUACAAUCACAUGAACACCAAGUACAAAUGUAUGAAACACAGUAACUUAGAUGAAGCUGGGAUUAUCACUUACUUUUCUUCUUCAUUCCUACUUUUAAUAUUGAUGAUCUACUGACAGUUCAUCCUAUCUUAAUUCUUAAUAUUCUUAAUAUUACCUCCUGCUCACAGUACUGUAACUACUUUUGUCAGUUAAGGGGAAAUUGGUUCAUUUUUCCAUUUCUUUUUUUAUAAACUACAGUAGCUUUUAUUGCUGAUGAAUCUUCUGAACCACCAGAAUGAUCUGUUCCAUUACCUUUCCCGGGAAGGGGCUGAGGCUGACCCUCCAGUAGCUUCCCAGGUCCUCCUUCUUGUCCUUUGAGGAUGGGAGUAACAUUGGCUUUUCUCCUGUAACUGGACACCUCUCCUGUUCUCCAUGAUUUUUCAAGGGUAAUGGACAGUGUUAGCAACAUCUGCCAGCUCCCUCAACACCCAAGGGAACAUCCCACCAGGGCCCAUGGAUUUAUGGGUGUUAAGUCAGCCUAUCUGAUCUCUGACCAACUCUGUCUGAUCAAGGGGAAGUCUUUCUUUCUCCAGCCUUCCUCUCUUAAAUCCAAGGUCUUGGAGUCCUGAAGGCUUUUCUCAGAAGUCUAAGGCAUAGGAGAUAUUCAGUAUUUCCACCUUCUCUGUGUCUUCUACCACCCAUUUGGUUCAGCAAUAGCCUCACAUUGUCCCCAAUCUUCCCUUUGCUGCAGAUAUUCUUAGAGAAGUCCUUCUUGCUGUCCUUGCCAGACUCAAUUCCAAGUGGGCCUUGGCCUUCCUCUUGCAUUCCUGAAAAUGUUACUGUAGUCCUCCUACGUGGCCUGUCCCUUUUUCCAUAUCCCAUAUAAUAUUUUUCUGCUGAGAUUUGUAAGAAGCUCCCUACUCAUCCAUGUAGGUUUCCUGUCCCCUUUACUUGAUUUCUUGCUCAUGCCUCAUUUCUUGUUAUUCAUACACUGGAAGAAAUUUCUGUGUGCAUUUUCAUUUUUAAUGUAUAUAAUUUUCUCCAGCAGAAAUACUUUUGAGGAUUUAUAUGACUGCCUUGUGAUUUUUGUUUUUAUGUCACAACUGAACAAGCUUAAUUAUCCACAUUAUGCUUGUAGCAACAAACCUGAUUUUGAAAGUGUUUUCCAUCUUCCAACACCUACAAUAAUGUUCUAUUUGAAGUUCCCAUCCUUUUAAAGUCUCAUAUCUGACAGAACUGUUUUUAUUUUUUGUGUUCACUUAGAAUGGUCACAAAUUAUUGCACAAUUAAGCAACCCUCAAAAGCUCAAAAGUAAGCCAUCUGAGGUUUUCUUGUGCAUUGGUUUUGCCCUGAUUGGCAGCCAAGCACCCAACUGGUUGCUUAGUCCUACCUACUACAAGAUGGGGAAGGAAACAAACAGACUGUUUGUGGAAAAAACUCAUAUUAAAAUAAUAAUGGGAAAUCACCUCCUAGUUACUGUCACAGGCCAAACAGACUCAACUUUGGGAAUUUAAAUUUAAUUACUUUGGGAAUUUAACUUUAAAUACUGAUUGAAAUAUUCAAAAGCUAAGCCAAACAUUUAAGCAAUUGUGGAAAGUACUUCUUAACAUUUCCUAAUCUCUACCUUUUUACUCUUGCAGGCUGCACCCAGGCUUUUCAAUAAAGCACAGGAAACUGGUGACAUUUCACUUCCUACCAUUUCUGCUCCUUGCACUUUCCUCCCAAUUCACUUUUUAGCAUACUCAUUUCUGCUGCUCCAGUGUAGGUCCUCUACACAUCACACUCUCUUCAGGAAAGCAGCCAUUCUAACAUGUCCUACAAUGUCUGUAAGCCCUCCAGGGGUUUUACAGGCUUUGCUAGGGAGUACCUCCUGCACACCUGGCCCUGAUAUUCCACCUACCUUCCCUCCCACAGCACCUCAGUGUGGUCCUCCUUCUCAAAUGUGUUUCCCAGAGGCAUCACACACUUGGCUGAAGGGCUCAGCUGUGCCCUGUGAUGAGUCCAUCAGGGCCAGCUGGAGCUCCUGUACUUAUCAUAGGGCAGCCCCUGGGCUCUUCUCACAGAGACCAUCCCUUCAUUCCCACCACUGUCAACACUUCCAGGAUGCAUCAAGGACUGUGGAUGUUCCACUUGAGGCUUCCAGCAAAACAUGUCAUUCACCUACAACUCUCUUCUAGCCAAAAAAGCCAAAAUCAAAUCUUUUGUGUUCUAGUAACAUUUUCAAUCCGACAGAAAAAACUGAACUGUCCAAUUUAUAUCAAGAAUAAGAGAACUUCUAAUUCAUACAGUGCAGCAAGAAGUGUCAUUCAUCAUUAAUGUGAUGAAGAUAAAUGCUUCUGGCCACAAAAAGGAACCUUAUGAAGAUGACUGUGGUUUGCAGGAAAAAGGAAUAUUCAGUCAUCUUGACUGAAUAUAAUAGCCUGAGAAUUCAGGAAGAAAUAGGACAUUGGGUCCAUCCUUUAAAGAUAUCUUUAAGACCAUUUUCACUGUUACUGUUAGCAUCCUUUAGGAUCUAUGAAAGCAUUUGAAGAAAAUUCUGUGGCUAGUGCCUUUUUUCAAUUGUGCAUUGGAGAUUUUCCCUGCAAAGCAUUAAAAGUCAGAAAAUUGUAAACAGUUGACCACUACCUCUUUGAAACAGGAAAAUGAUUUUAUUUGGGUGCAUGGAGGUAUAUUUUGAAAAUCAUAUCAUAAAUCAAAGACACCAUCCCUAUAUACAGAUGACUUGUAAAUUAAGUCCAUUAUGCAUGACAUUAUCAGUUCACAGCUUUAUGGGUAUUUGUGUUGGCCAAGUCAAUGUACAGGGAUACAAGCUACAUCAGCAGUUUCUCUCUGAUGUGAUUUGGGUUUUGGUUACCAUCAAACAGGAAAAAAAUGUUAAGUUUAAUUCACAUUAAGUAAUGGUCGGUCAGUAUGAAUUUAAAUGUUUUAAUUUGCAUG